CCCCCCCAUUCUCAUCUGAUCACUGAAGUUAAGCAAGACUGAGCCUGGUCAGUAACUAGAUGGGUGACCACUUGGGAAUACCAGAUGCUGUAAG